GACAGAAAACAGUAUUUCUGCUCUCUCUUCUGCUGUUCUUCCUUGACAAGAUGUAUCAUUAAAAUAAACAUUAACAAUGAACAAAUAUCCAUUAACAGAAAGUCAAAAGACAUUCCUCUGGGUUAGUUGUACAUGUGUUGGCAUGUAUGUAGCUUACAGAUAUUGGAAGAAACGUAAACUCAAGACGAUAAAUGAAAGAUUCGGAGAAAUAUCUAAGCUUUUAAGUAAACCUCAAAAAAGAGUAGUCUUAUUGGGAUUAAAAGGUGCUGGAAAGACUUUGUUAGUGAAUCAAAUGACUGUUUCAAAUAACAAUGACUUUAGUUAUACCAUGCCACCACAGCCUACUAAAGGUUCUCUUAUUACCAGAUUAAAAAAUGAUUUAUGUUAUUAUAAUAUAUGGGAAGUUGGUGGCAUUGAUACAUUGGACGAUGUGAUAACAUAUUGGACUAUGUUUUCAUAUGAUGUUGAUCUCAUGGAUUGCCCCAAUGCCUUAAAGCCAGAACAAGUUGAACAAGCUUUAGAUUUAUUGAGUCUCUCACACAAGCACAAGAUAGAACUAAUUGGAUGCCAAACUGAACCAUUGCCUUGUCUGUCAGAAGGAGAGACUAAUUACAAGUGGUGCCAUAGUUCCGUAGUUCUGGUUAUGAAAAAGAUGUUUUCCAUGGCUAUAUCUUGAAAUAAUAUCUCAAAAGGCAGACAUGUGUAUGAGGUUAGGGGACACUCACCACGGAAUAGAAGACGUUGACGUUGCACGAAAAACUCGCGAUCCGAAUGAACCACAUUUCUGUGAAGUUUACAAAAUUCAAAAGGCUCAUGAGGACGAAGCGACGGGAAGACCA
rnacentral:misc_RNA from 1 species